UACGUAGGGUGCGAGCGUUAAUCGGAAUUACUGGGCGUAAAGCGUGCGCAGGCGGUUUGCUAAGACAGGUGUGAAAUCCCCGGGCUUAACCUGGGAACUGCGCUUGUGACUGGCAGGCUAGAGUACGGCAGAGGGGGGUGGAAUUCCUGGUGUAGCAGUGAAAUGCGUAGAUAUCAGGAGGAACACCGAUGGCGAAGGCAGCCCCCUGGGCCUGUACUGACUCUCAUGCACGAAAGCGUGGGGAGCAAACAGGAUUAGAUA
rnacentral:rRNA from 1 species